rnacentral:rRNA from 1 species
GAUGAACGCUGGCGGCGUGCCUAAUACAUGCAAGUCGAGCGAAUGGAUUAAGAGCUUGCUCUUAUGAAGUUAGCGGCGGACGGGUGAGUAACACGUGGGAAACCUGCCCAUAAGACUGGGAUAACUCCGGGAAACCGGGGCUAAUACCGGAUAACAUUUUGAACCGCAUGGUUCGAAAUUGAAAGGCGGCUUCGGCUGUCACUUAUGGAUGGACCCGCGUCGCAUUAGCUAGUUGGUGAGGUAACGGCUCACCAAGGCAACGAUGCGUAGCCGACCUGAGAGGGUGAUCGGCCACACUGGGACUGAGACACGGCCCAGACUCCUACGGGAGGCAGCAGUAGGGAAUCUUCCGCAAUGGACGAAAGUCUGACGGAGCAACGCCGCGUGAGUGAUGAAGGCUUUCGGGUCGUAAAACUCUGUUGUUAGGGAAGAACAAGUGCUAGUUGAAUAAGCUGGCACCUUGACGGUACCUAACCAGAAAGCCACGGCUGACUACGUGCCAGCCGCCGCUGUAA